GGCUUCCCUCUUUGGGGUGAUUGAUCGUGGAGCACCCCCAUCAAUUGCCCCGCAGAGGGUGGCC
rnacentral:pre_miRNA from 1 species